rnacentral:rRNA from 1 species
GACGAACGCUGGCGGCGUGCCUAAUACAUGCAAGUAGAACGCUGAAGGAGGAGCUUGCUUCUCUGGAUGAGUUGCGAACGGGUGAGUAACGCGUAGGUAACCUGCCUGGUAGCGGGGGGUAACUAUUGGAAACGAUAGCUAAUACCGCAUAAUAGCAGUUAUUGCAUGAUAACUGUUUGAAAGGUGCACUUGCACCACUACCAGAUGGACCUGCGUUGUAUUAGCUAGUUGGUGGGGUAACGGCUCACCAAGGCGACGGUACAGAGCCGACCUGAGAGGGGGGACGGCCACACUGGGACUGGGACACGGCCCAGGAUCCUACGGGAGGCAGCAGUAGGGAAACUUCGGCAAUGGGCGGAAGUCUGACCGAGCCACGCCGCGUGAGUGAAGAAGGUUUUCGGAUCGUAAAGCUCUGUUGUUAGGGAAGAAAGAGUGUGAGAGUGGAAAGUUCACACUGUGACGGUAUCUUACCAGAAAGGGACGGCUAACUACGUG